GCUCUUAUGGUGUAAUGGUUAGCACUCUGGACUUUGAAACCAGCGAUCCGGGUUCAAAUCCCGGUAGGACCU
rnacentral:tRNA from 1 species